AUGGGAAUGUUUGUGGUGCAUGGUUUAAUCUGAUUUGAAUCGCGCUGUCUCUUUAGUGAUGUCCGUGUUGUCGAGGAUUUCAGGUGGUCCAGGAGAUGGCGAUGUAAGCUUUGAAGGAGAGAGAAGAGAGGCUGUACGGAUGACUUAAGUGACAGCGUCUCAAACAAACAUUUCCCUGCUGUUCUACAUCUCUUCUGACGCGCAGCAGUUGCCGUUUUCUUCUCGUGAAUGUAGGCUUUGGGCUCACUGGAUACAAAGAGACUGAUCUGGAUGAGGACAACAUAUUAUCAUUGUUUAAUUAAUAACCAACAUCACCAGUAUCUCAAGGAUGCAAAGUUGAAUUGCACGCGACAAACAGAAACAGAGAUGUUGAAGGUACUGAGUAGCCUAUUGCGCCCAGGCGGUGCUCUUCUGUAAGAGGAGGGUUUAAUCAGGGUCGUUAUCCGCCCCUUUAAUGCAAGUGUCCAUGGAGGACGAAUCUAUCAGGACAUUACCAUCGGAAGUCCUUCACGGACACCUCGCAGUGGCUUUUGUAAAAAAUGUGCGGCGUUUGGGUCGCCAGUAACACGGUUAUUUACAAUGAUGGGACCGCGCAGCCAGUCUCAGGCAGAACCAAGCAUGACUCCACCACGAUGCUCAUCCACUGCUGCUGACAGGUUGCCUAUGGAGACUGUUCAGAGGAAUAACAGCAGUAAUAGUGGUGUUAUUCUGGACAUUUCCACCCUGAAAAUGGCCGAUGUGGACUCUGAGGUCCCUCCUCUACCUCCACGAUACCGCUUUCGAGAUCUGCUGCUCGGAGAUCAAUCUUUUCAGAAUGAUGACAGGGUGCAGGUUGAAUUUUAUGUAAAUGAAAACACAUUCAAGGAGAGGUUGAAGCUCUUCUUCAUCAAAAACCAAAGGUCAAGUCUCAGAAUACGCCUCUUCAACCUCUCCUUGAAGUUGUUAACAUGCCUCCUCUAUAUAAUCAGAGUCUCACUAGAUGAUCCAACUAACCAGGUCACAUGUGCACGGAAACACUGCACAAACAUCACAGAUGCCCUUUGCAACAAAACCUGUGGCAACUACACAACAAACCUGACUGCAGAUCCCACACAAAUAAACUGGGAGCUAAUAUUUUGGGUGAAUAGGAGAGUUCCUGUAUGGGCAAUACAGGUGACAGUGGCCUUAAUUAGCUUCUUGCAAGCUAUGCUCCUGGUGUAUCUCAGCUACAAGGGGAACAUUUGGGAGCAGAUUUUCCAAAUCUCCUUCAUCAUUGAGAUGAUCAAUACAGUUCCGUUCAUAAUUACAAUCUUUUGGCCUCCGCUGAGGAACAUAUUUGUUCCUGUGUUUCUUAAUUGUUGGCUUGCCAAAUCAGCACUGGAGAACAUGAUUAAUGAUCUCCAUCGUGCCAUUCAGCGCACACACUCUGCCAUGUUCAACCAGGUCCUCAUUCUGAUCUGUACACUGCUCUGUCUGGUCUUUACUGGGGCUUGUGGGAUUCAGCACCUCGAGCGGGCAGGGAAGAGUCUCUCCCUCUUUGACGCUUUAUAUUUCUGCAUCGUCACCUUCUCGACUGUUGGUUAUGGAGAUGUCACACCCAGAAUCUGGCCCUCUCAGCUACUGGUGGUCAUCAUGAUCUGUGUGGCUCUGGUGGUGCUGCCAUUACAGUUUGAGGAGUUGGCGUAUCUUUGGAUGGAGAGGCAGAAGUCAGGUGGAAACUACAGCAGACAUCGUGCUCAGACAGAGAAGCAUGUGGUUCUCUGCGUCACUUCACUCAAAAUAGACCUGCUCAUGGAUUUCCUCAACGAGUUCUACGCCCACCCGAGACUACAGGAUUAUUAUGUGGUGAUACUCUGUCCCACUGAGAUGGACAUCCAGGUUCGGCGUAUACUGCAGAUCCCGCUGUGGUCUCAGCGGGUUAUCUACCUCCAAGGCUCUGCACUUAAGGACCAAGACCUGAUGAGGGCCAAGAUGGACGAUGCAGAGGCGUGCUUCAUCCUCAGCAGCAGAAAUGAAGUGGACCGCACCGCAGCUGAUCAUCAAACCAUUCUGCGAGCAUGGGCUGUGAAGGACUUUGCCCCAAACUGUCCUCUAUAUGUCCAGAUUCUCAAACCUGAGAACAAAUUCCAUGUCAAAUUUGCAGAUCAUGUGGUGUGUGAGGAGGAGUUCAAGUAUGCCAUGCUGGCCCUCAACUGUGUGUGUCCAGCCACCUCUACACUGGUCACACUCCUGGUGCACACGUCUCGUGGACAGGAGGGACAGAUGUCUCCAGAACAGUGGCAGAGGACGUAUGGCCGCUGCUCGGGGAACGAAGUUUACCACAUUCGUUUGAUGGACAGCAAGUUCUUUGGCGAAUAUGACGGAAAGAGUUUUACUUAUGCGUCCUUCCAUGCACAUAAAAAGUAUGGUGUCUGCCUAAUCGGCACAAAGAGAGAAGACAAUAAGAGCAUACUUCUGAACCCUGGUCCUCGCCACAUCAUGUCUGCCACAGACACCUGCUACUACAUCAACAUCACUAAAGAGGAGAACUCUGCCUUCAUCUUCAAACAGGAGGAGAAGCACAGCAAAGGGCAAUCAGCCCCCGGCGUGUAUGACGCCCCUUCUCGUCUCCCGGUGCAGAGCAUCAUCGCAAGCAUGGUUGAUCAGUCUACUUCAUAUGGAACUGUGGCCAUUGACCUGCAGAACCCAGAUCCCCCGGCUGACAGCAGUAAACUGGCCCUGCCCACAGAGAACGGAGCUGGGAGUCGUAGACCCAGCAUUGCCCCUGUGCUAGAGAUCGCCGAUUCCUCUGCAAUCCUGCCUUGUGAUCUUCUCAGUGACCCCUCAGAAGAUGAGACCAACCAAUCAGAUGAUGAAGGAUCACCAGCUUUAGAGUGGAUUAGAGGCUAUCCUCCAAACUCCCCUUACAUUGGAAGCUCCCCAACUCUUUGUCACCUUUUGCAACAGAAGGCGCCAUUUUGUUGCCUACGACUUGACAAGGGUUGUCGGCACAAUAGCUUUGAAGACGCCAAGGCAUAUGGUUUCAAAAACAAGUUGAUUAUUGUUUCUGCUGAAACAGCAGGAAAUGGCCUGUACAACUUCAUAGUGCCAUUGCGUGCCUAUUACCGACCCCGGAAGGAGCUGAAUCCCAUUGUGCUGCUGUUGGAUAAUCCGCCUGAUAAUCAUUUUCUUGAAGCCAUCUGCUGUUUCCCUAUGGUGUACUACAUGGCUGGUACCAUUGACAAUUUGGAUAACCUGCUGCAGUGUGGCAUCAUCUACGCUGAUAACCUGGUAGUGGUAGAUAAGGAGAGCACUAUGAGUGCAGAGGAAGACUACAUGGCAGAUGCUAAAACCAUAGUCAACGUGCAGACCAUGUUCAGGUUGUUUCCUAGUCUCAGCAUAAUCACUGAGCUAACCCAUCCUUCUAAUAUGAGAUUCAUGCAGUUUCGUGCCAAAGACUGCUACUCCCUGGCUCUCUCAAAACUCGAAAAGAUAGAGAGAGAUAAGGGCUCUAAUCUUGCAUUCAUGUUCCGCCUCCCAUUCGCUGCAGGCAGAGUGUUCAGUAUUAGCAUGCUGGAUACUCUUCUUUACCAGUCUUUUGUGAAGGACUAUAUGAUUCUCAUUGCAAGACUCCUGCUGGGUCUAGACACCACCCCGGGCUCUGGCUACCUCUGUGCUAUGAAGGUAACGGAAGAGGACCUAUGGAUCCGGACGUACGGAAGACUGUUCCAGAAGCUGUGUUCAUCCAGUGCAGAAAUUCCCAUUGGGAUAUACCGCACUGAAUCUCACAUGUUCUCUUCCUCAGAGUUUAAGGAGGUUUGCAAACAGUCCAGGUGUCUGUGGAGGACUGUGAGGACCCGCGGGACCGCGGGGAAUCCUGGAAAGAGAAAACCGCCCACAGAAACUCCACAGGGAGCGACCAAUCAGAGCACCCACUCCUGCGGAAGAAGAGCAUGCAGUGGGCGAGACGGCUGAGCAGAAAAAACACCAAACCGCCCAGUCGAGUUGAACGCAUCAAUCAACAGCGCCUAAAUCUGUACCGGCGCUCAGAGAGACAGGAGCUGUCAGAGCUGGUGAAGAACCGCAUGAAGCACUUAGGGCUGCCCACUGUGGGAUACGAGGACGUAGCUAAUUUAACUGCAAGUGAUGUGAUGAACCGAGUAAAUCUAGGAUAUUUGCAAGAGGGUACUUACAUGACAGAGGGUACUGCAGGUACUCACUGGCAUCUGAGCAUUGAUAUAAGACAUGAUGAGUGAGGGCUUUUGAUUCCAGGAUGUUUGGACAGAGUGGAGUAGAAAGCAUUCAGUCUUUGUCGGAAGGGUCCAUCUAGCACAGGUAUUUAGGCAUACACUUAUAAGUCUGCUUGUACUGAUUUACAGCAUUGUUUCUCAGCUUUUUAUUCUUCUUAAUGGGGUGAUACUGGGAGAAGUAUUUGGGUUUCCCAUUACUGUAAUUGGUUAAUUAGCAUUUGGCUAUUGACUCCUCCCAAUCCCACACUACUAAUGUUUUUUGCUUCACUCUGAUUGGUCGAGCCUUGGCUUGGUGGGCCUGACAGAUCCUCUGAGCAUGCUUAUAUCUGUGUGUGUCGGUCUUACUGUUUGCUGACUUGGAGCUGUAUGUUGGCAUGGCAAUGAUCAACGUUCAGUGGGUCAACUGUGAUUAUGAUGCAGUAGACUGAUGGAUGGAUUGAGAGACUGAAUGCGUGGGUGGAUGCGGACCCUGUCUGCAUGCGUCCGCGCAUGGGGAGCGCUUGCGGUUGCAUGGGCGUUCCGUAAAUGCAGCCAUGCCCUGUCAGUAACGGUUAGCCCUUCUCUCUCUUUUACCUGGCCUGGCAUUAAGUGGCUCAAACAGGUGGGUUUGAAGAAGCAGAGGCACUUUGUCCCAGUCUUGAGUCCCUUAUUCACAGACCUGCAAAGGUUCACACUUCUCAGUCAUUUGCAAGCAGGUAAAAUACAACAAAGUCUCAGAAACCCAGCCAACAAAAUCCUAACACAGUGGGUACACAACAACUGCCUCCCAUGUUUUAUUAUUCAAUAUAUUUUGCUCUUUUUGGCUAUUCUGACUCAGUCAACAGCAUAGUUUUAUUAUCUGCAGUAGGAACAGAGAUAAAUGUUACUGAUAAUUUCUCAGAACUUUGUUACACAAAUGUUUUGGAAUAUUAAGAAUUGAUACAGGUUAAAUACAAUAGUGACUGUGUUUUGUUUCUCUUGCAGAUGAAAUGAAUGAUAAUCAGAACACGUUAUCAUAUGUGCUGAUAAAUCCUCCUCCGGACACCAUUCUAGAACUCAAUGACAUUGUCUACAUAAUCCGUUCUGAUCCGCUGGCACACGUCCCUGAGAAUCUCCCAGGGGCUCCGGCCGGAGUGCAGCUACAUCAAGACUAUGGACCUGAGACGAGGGAUGAGACCCAUCUGUAGGAACUAGAAGUUCUCGUUAACCAUCCUUCCCUCCCUCCUCCGUCUUGAGCUGCUACAGGCUGCAUGAAGAGUGACAGACACGACCCAUGUGCCAACACAUUCACAACCCAAGCUGCCCAACCAAGCCAAAUAGGCGUAACUGUAUAACUGAAACACUUUACAGAUUGCUCUUUUCUAUGACACAGACAUACAGAAUCUCGUGGCACAUUUCAAACUUCUCGGAAUGUGGCUGGUUAUUACAUUUUUGUAUUUGAGACUUGGCUCAGUGCAAGUGUGAGGUGUUGAAUCAGUCUGGACCAAACAAGCUGUCCAAGCACUUUGGAUUUAUAGGGCAGUAUAUAUCAGAAACAUUACGUGAAGCAGUAUUCAAGAGGGCAGCUAAAGGCCGAAGGAAAAAAAAACAA